CCUACGGGAGGCAGCAGUGAGGAAUAUUGGUCAAUGGACGAGAGUCUGAACCAGCCAAGUAGCGUGAAGGAUGACUGCCCUAUGGGUUGUAAACUUCGUUUAUAUGGGAAUAAAACAGGGUAUGCAUACCCUCAUGUAUGUACCAUAUGAUUCAGGAUCGGCUAACUCCGUGCCAGCAUCCGCGGUAAUACGGAGUAUCCGAGCGUUAUCCGGAUUUAUUGGGUUUAAAGGGAGCGUAGGUGGAUUGUGAAGUCAGUUGUGAAAGUUUGCGGCUCAACCGUAAAAUUGCAGUUGAAAAUGGCAGUCUUGAGUACAGUAGAGGUGGGCGGAAUUCGUGGUGUAGCGGUGAAAUGCUUAGAUAUCACGAAGAACUCCGAUUGCGAAGGCAGCUCACUGGACUGCAACUGACACUGAUGCUCGAAAGUGUGGGUAUCAAACAGGAUUAGAUACCCGUGUAGUC
rnacentral:rRNA from 1 species